AGUCAAGAACACCGAGGACGAGGCAGAACAGGCCAAAUCCGCAAGGGCUCACAUGAAUGUGGAAGCAAGAAGCACCCGAUAUGGUCACUCACGCAUUCUUCUCCGCGCUCUCGUCUAGAGCAAAACCCUGUCAAUGCCAAGUGCUCUCGGGCCACUCCAAGCUUUUCAUGCCCCCUACGCUCGAGUAAUCGAGCUCAGAAACCAGCCCCGCGUUACGCCGAGCCGCGUAGUAGGUAAGCGAAGUAGCGCAAAUUCUCACGCUGACACCGCUCCAGUCGCAGCCACCGGACAGCUUCAGGACACACGCUCUGUGUCAGCAGUUACUAUAGGCGACUGCGGCUUGUGCCCGCAGUGCUCAUGCAGGCGGUUUACUUGACAAACUUGCUCAUGUCGUUGUCGAACAGGCUCGUGCUGCGGCCCACGAACAUUGAGCGAAUGGAGUUCUUGAACUGGUCACCCUUCUUGGCUGCCUCAGCAGUCUCAGGCGUGAUGCCCGCAGUCUGCUCGGGGUCGUGCUGUCGGUGGGCAAUUUGUGGGGCAGCAGACCGCGGUUGGCAAGCCAAUCGCAAAGCACAGCAGGCUAUAAUGAGGCACCUAAAGAGGACGCAGGCUAGGGUGCCAACAGAGCCUCCUGAGUCGCAAACAAACUCGGCGGCAAAGCUCGAUUGCCUCGCCCUGCGCCCUGUCCACUUACGCGGAUGACGCGGUAAAGCAUGGUGCUGAAGGCGCCCGCCGCGAAGACGAUGGGCACGGACAGCGCCAGAAUAUCAGCGGGAAUGCCACGGGCGGGGGCCAUGAUGCACAGCUGAAGUGAACACAAGGAAGAGGGUAGUAAGAGGUCUCAGGAGUGCAAGAGGCGCAAGAGUGAGUAGCGAAGUCGCGGAUGCGUCUGAAAUCACGCCCUUUUGUGCCCAAUCUGGGCGCCCAAUCAUGCCGCUCACACAGCGGUCACCCCAUUACGUGACGCACUAACGCACAGAGCCCAAAUAUGCACUAGUUAGCAAACGAGUUAAUUGAUUUGGAGCAACGGUGGCGAGGGAGGUGGAAAGCCGGUAGGUCUGAUCAAGUGUUCCCCGGUCACGGGAAAAGGGGCUGCUUUAGACCGUUGUUUGGCAGUUUGGCGCGUCAGAACGAACAGAAGUCUGUGGUGGCACAACUGACGAGCCCCCGAACCCAGCAUUUUAAGGCUAGGAUAUGUCUGGCGCGCUUCUGCACUGCAUCCAGUCGUCAACCAUCACAACACCCUGACUCCCGCCCCGCUAUGGACAAACCGCCAAUACCUAGUGUAGGCCGUGUAGCCUGGCGUGUGGUUAUGCCCGCUUCACCACCUCGAUGGUCCAGAUGGUCCUCCCCUGCCCACCACACAUCCACCCUUGUCCGCAACCGUGGGGCACUUGGCGAUCAGUACGGCGCCUUGCCGCCUUCAUGGCUCUUCUGCUCCCACUGCUCAGCCUUCUAGGACCUUCUUCUUUGCCAGGAACUCCAGGUCGCUGUCGUCUUUAAGCAGGUGAUGGCAGGGCUUGCAUCUUCCAGGGCUAGGCCCUCUCGCUGUCAUGAACCCAAUCUUAGGGCUUGCAUCUUCGGGCAGCGGCAAGAAACGGGCCCAAAUGCCGGCCCUCAGGCGAGAAAGAUUGGGCGUUUCCGGGGGUGCAUUCUCGUCGCGUGGGGGCUGCAUACGGCCCCCGAAUCUCGCCUGGAUGCCGUGGGCGAGAUUGCGAGAACUGGCGAGAACGUGGUCAUGGGCUCAUGGCCCGUCUCGCCAGCGGCGGCGGCCUACCCCUGGAAGGUGCCCUGGAACCCAUGCGAAGGAUAAAAGGAGGUAGCUGUACCGCCACGUCAGUCAGGCAGAGUGGCCCUGACGCGCGACCGACGAUAAGGGGCACUUCCCGCCAGGUUUCCUUUGGGGUCGCUACCACUGGGCUACCGAGAACCAGAAAUGGCAACGUCGCGGCCAAAAGCGACCCGCGAUGCGACGCUGAAGGGCGCCUCAAGCCCGCGCGGACCAGUACAUGCAAGAUAACCCUGUGGUGUCUUGCCCGUCGGCAACCAUACUUAUAGCCCGAAACCGUACCGGCACCCAGUCACGCAUUCCCGCUGUAGUCGCAACCUCCUUCCACAACGUACCCAUUGCCCCUAACAGGCACGCGUCGAUGGCAGCCACUUGCCUUGUGGACGCCCCUACUGGCAGCACCGGCACUCAUGGCUGCGGCGUGCCACUCCGUGUCUGCGGGUCUGCCGUGCCGACUCUUGUCCAGUGUUACGGAGUAUACCGGUAUGUCCAAACCAUGAGCCGCUAGCACAUUAAGCUGCACUGCACAACAAGGAGGUGGCUGCCUUAGGAAUGCGGAUGUUACAGAGGGGACAGUCCCAGCACCCGAAGACGCCGAGCCAUCACAUGCUAUCAGGGCCCAACAUGACUCCACCAACCCCGACUUUGCUGCAAACCCUCCCGCGGGCAAAGUCCGUGUGACUCCGCGCACAGUGAGUCCUAGCCAAGCCUCAACCCGCCAGAGCCCCACCGCUGUGCCUCAACGUCACAAGCCUAGGCACAGAAGUGCCGGGAAACGUCUAGGCCGCAGGACACAUGCACAGCACACGCACUAACCAGGGCGCAAGCGUCCAGGUACUAGAACGGUCGCCCACGCGUACAACCUGCCCACGCACAAAGCCACCAACCACGCACAACCUCUCACGGCGAGGAGGCGGGGAAUCAGCGUCAUACGGCAAGCGCAAAACCAUGCCGUCACCAACAGCCCGAGAGAUGAAAGGAUGCGCAGACGGCACAGUGUCCCAACCCUUCGGCCUGAUACCCAAAGACACAAACGUCUGGAGCCGACCCCAGAAGUCAGCUACGACGGCAAGUCCAAUGCUCAGCACCCGGGCCGACGGCAGCUUCGCUCGCGCCGCCAGCCCGGCCAUAACCAUACGCUGCCGACCAAAGUCCAGGGCAGACAUAGCAGCGAGACACACCACAUCCCACACAGGUGGCGCAAGCCCCGCAGGCGGGCGCACCAACCACAACUCCUCACGAGAGAAGGCACCUAGAGCAUCCUCUGGCAUGAAACCCAUAGCCAUUCCCAUGUGUUCCCGCAGGGACAGCGCCACAGUGCAGUCCCAAAACCAGUGACGCCGGUCCCCAUCCUGCAUGUCAACACCACAUGCCCAACACCUGCCUUAGGGAGGCAGGAAAAGGGCUGAUCCCGGGUCGUUAUCAACCCAGCCACCUUGACGCGGGCGCCUACUAAGCACACGCCUCUAUGUUGGGGGCCUUUGGCAUCCCCGCAAAUCCGGACGCGUCCACUGGGGGUUGCGCCCGGACCAGGAAGAAAGAGGCGUGAGAGCGAGCCGCUACAGAAAUGGACAACGGUGACAGGCUCUUUAUGACGGCUCGCCGUCUGCUGUGUCUUUGUAGCACAUUUACGACGUACAGAAGUCAUACUGCGCAAAGCCAUGGCUUGCUUUUCGGGCAACCUCGCGAAAGUCAAUUGUCCAUGGACGUGCGAAGGCACCUCUCGCUCCGCCCGAAUUUUCCCCGCCGCCUAUUUAUAUGCAAUAGGCAUUAACAAAUACUAAUACGUAGCAGUCGCGGUUUGCGCCAGUAUGCUACGGUAUGUUUUGCCGACGCCACGGACAGGGGUGUUCCUGGGGGGCUUCGCCCCCCCCCCCCCUGGAACGCUUCGCUGGGGGGGCACUGCACAAAAACCAUACGUCCCAGAACCGUCAGCAAGGACCAGUGAACAUUUCUUUGAGACUCAUCUUGGAAUAUACACAUAGGCGUGGGUGCGCAAGCGUGCAGCCGCCCCGGCGCUUCCUCGCCGCAAUUCCCAGCUACCCCCAUCACCUACUUGCCAGCCCCAACUCAAGACGUACUGUAAGAAACCGGAACCAAGUGCAUGCAUGCCCAGAAGUCGUGCUGCUGAACAAGCAUACGCUUCAUACGGUCCCGCACUUUACGACAUAAGGACACUUCGUUCGUCAGCAACCGUUCAAUAUAUCAGCGACCGGUGCCAGAAUGUGCAAGCGGGACCGUCAGAAGCUCACUACCAGAAAUACGGUACAAUGCGCAAGGCGCCCACACACGUAAAUUGCGUGCACGGCAACGACCGCAACAUCAUCGUCCACUCUCCCUUGGCAUGGGCCCAUGACGCCGGCCCUGUCUCAAGCGGGGCCAGGCACCUACCCUAUAGGGCGGCCCCAGUACUGCGCCCGAGCCCAGCCGCCCACCUCUGACAACAUAACACACGGUAUACUAACACCAGACGACGUCCAAAUACAACCCACAUGCCGCUGGCCUACAUGGCAGCAGCGCUUGCCCUGCCAGGCACAGCACGCCCAUACCUACCAACACUCACGUCCACACUUGGCCGCCAUCUAGGCCGAUAUCCCCUCACUCAGAAAGGCAUUGCUCCUGACCCAUGCAUGCCCCCGGUGUGCACACUGCCCAGUCCCCCGCUCCCAUGCAGCUGCUCCACUGACAUACUGGACUGAGGUGCCCACGCGUGCUACAAGAACACCGGCUGCUCACAACGCAGCGGCAACUCUUAAGCACUAGCGGGACCCGUUCUUUGUUCUCUCUCUUCUCUGACCCCUCGUGUAGCAUGUGCUAGCUCACCAGGUGCCAUAUGAAGCUCACCGAGCGACGUCAAAAUUGGCGACAUGCCAUGCAAAAACGGAGUACACCGCCCGGCCUCAGGCCUGCGGGACGGUAUGCUGGCCCGCCCCAAGCGUGCCAGACAGCCCCGCCGGCACCUGGGGCAGUGACGCCGACCCCGAGGCGGAACCGGCCCCAGGGCCGGCGGGUCCCACGGGCGGCGCUGACACGUUUCGGCUGCUGACAGCUGCGUCCAGUGCGGUGGGUGCUAGGAAAUCGAGGCCGUCCAGGGUUGGCAGCGGGCCCAGCAGCUGCAAAUCGGAGAAGCACAUGCUGUCGGCGCGGGUGGUGGUCAUCGUCAGCACCGACUCGGCCGGGAGCGCGGCGCCAACGCCCGCUGCCUGGGCCUGACCCGGCGCAGGGCUGGCCGCGGCAGCCACCCCGGUCACCGGGCACAGGCUGGGCAGGCUGUCCAGAGCGCCCCCGCUGCUGCUGCCACCCGUCAUGCCGCCAGCGCUGCUCUCCACAGCCAUCUUCUUCGCCGCGACGCCCUCUUCCGAGCUGCCACUGCCGUCCGCUGCCCGCAUGCCGGCCUCUUCAGCGCUGCGCUUCCGGGACUCGCUGCCGUCGGCCGGCACACUAGUGCCCACCUUCGCCUGCAUCAGCCGUAUCCAUGACAGCAGCAGCGGCAGAAGGCUGUUGGUGAGCGGUGGACGAUGAAUGGUCAGGAGGAGGCGAGUUGGGCCGCGUGAAGAGUGUCGGUGGACGUAGGUGAUGUGGAUGGUGUGGAUGGUGGACGUAGGUAGUGGGCCGGCGUGCGCAGGUCAGGGUGGUGGUGCCGGCGAUGAACGGUCCAAUUACGCGUGCAUGGGGUUCGAGGGUGGUGAGGGGGUGGGAGGCAUCAGCCACCAAGGCAAGGAACUAUCCCACAGCUCGAAACAUGGCACGCACUAGCAGGUACAGAGCGCUACGGCAACCGCAGAAUCCGCACGCACGCACGCACGCACGCACGCAAGUAAACGCCAUAGCCUAGUCGCACCAGGCUCCGCACUCACUGUGGCGCCACUGCUGCCGCCCGCCGCGGGUGCCGCCGCCAUCGCGUCCGGCCCGCCGCCACCCGCUGCCUGUUUCAUGGUGGCAGCCAGCUGUGCUGCCAGCUGCGCCGAGUCGCCGCCCGCGCCCUCGCCCGCCAAGGCGGCGCCGCCCAGCACCUUGUUGAGCAGCGCCGCCACCUGCUGCUGGCUGGCCAGGAGCUCGCGCCGCAGCCGCGUGGCCUCGUCCUCGGCGGUCUUCUUGGCGUCACCCAGCCCAUGCAGCUCGCCGCGCAGGGAAGCCAGCUCAGACUGCGCGGGAGCGACACCACAAGGAGCGGGGGUGCAAUUUAACGACGUUGCAAGGAUGAGGAACGGGUGGAGUGGUGGUCCUGGGUUUGAGGUGCACAACCCCUCCCCCAAUACAGGCCCGGUCGUGUCACCCUGAUGUCAGCCGCGCGUUACCCUGACUCGCCCUAUGCAAAGGCCCGCGCUACUGCUGGAGUAACGCCAUAUGCCCGACCCCUCUUAAGUCUUAACGCACUCCCCGCGCUUCAUGCACCCUUGUCACCCAGGCUCGCGGGCGUCAGGGUAAAUAAUUUAGUUCCUCUCGCGCUUCUUUGGCGUUGAUCUCGAAUGCUACAUUGCAACCCUGCGCAUGUCGUUUCGGUGCCGGCGCUUUCUACGCGGCGACGGUGCUGCUGGUGCGCCAUAUAGGUGGGUAUACAGUCUGUGUUGCGCAAUUUAGUGUUGCGGAUAGGCGCCGCGACUCGAUGGUAUUGUCUACAGUGUACGGCCAGCGCCGAGCCGCCGACAAGAAGAACAAGGCUCGAGGGCGUCCAAGGAAAAGGAGAAGGCCAUACAUCCUCCGCGAUAUGUGAGCUGGUUCCGUGUCUUGGUUCUUUGGGAUCGGAAUACCCCCCCCCCCCGCCACGCUUUAACCCCCGCUCCCAGUCAGCCGUUGCAAGGGCUCUCGGACAUGCCCUCGACGCACCUCCAGCUUCCGCAACCGCGCCGAUUCGCUGGCGUCCACCUUGGCAAUGCUGGGCGACCCGUUGGCGGCGGCGUUACCCGCACCCGCACCACCUCCUGCGCUCGCACCGCCUGCCGCCGCCGUAGCUGCCGCGUUUAGCUGUGCGGCGGUGGAGCUGCCGGAGCGCUGCAGCUGCUGCCGUAACGAGCGGUUCUCGGCCCUGACAGGAAAGGAAGGGGCGAAGGGCGAUGGCCAGGAAACUCGCUACAAAUCCUCCUGGGGUUCAGUUGAUAGCCCACAAGGCACCGGAGGCUGUCAGCGAAGCUUGCAUGAAAACUACCACGAACCUUGACUUGCUCAACCGAAUAGCCUUUGAUGUCCCUCGCACUCCGGCUCGCUCACCUCAUCACCUCCAGCUCAUUGGCCAGGCGCUUGAGCUGCUCGCCCGCAAUCGCGGCCUGAGCCGACCCGCCCAGGCCGCCUGGGCCCAGCAGCCCCAGCGCGCCCGCGCCCACGCCGCCCGCCCCACCCGCCGCGCCCGCACCCGCCACCCGGGGCGCCAGAUUAGCCACUGACGACUGGCGCGGCACGUGUCGCACAUGGUGGCGCAGAGGGCUCUGCAAGCGUUUCAGGCGCAUUAUGUAAUGGGCAAGUGAGCCUACCAGCAGCAAGGAAACAUUGGAGCUGUAAGGGCUCUCGAUCCACCUUUCCCAGCGAUCGUUUGGGAUCCCCGGCCUGAAUGCACUAUCCGUCCAGGAUGUCUCUGUCACUCACCCUCGCGCCCAAAGCGCCAGCGCGCAACGUGCCGCUUGCAGUGGGGCCGACGCCGGCGCCGCCGCGGCCCAUGCCGCCCUCCUCUGCGCCCUCGCCCAUGCCCUCUUCGCCGCCCUCGCCGCCGGCCUCGCCCUCGCCCUCCACCCCCAGGUCCUCGCCCUUGCCCGCCGCUAGCGCCUCGUCGCCGCCGGUGCCGUCGUCCGCCUGGUCGCCGCCGCCGCCGUCGUUGUCGUCCUCGCCGCUGGCCAGGCUACUCACCUGCACGGAGCCCAGGACCCCGGCAUAGGACAGCAGGUAAGAUUGGCACCCAAGCCCAGGAGGGAUGGAGCAAGGGCAAACUGCGAGGUACACAACAGCCAACGAGCCUCCAACCGGCAGCCAGCAUCGCUAUGUGGGGAUUUAACUUUGCCAAACUGCCACUUGAACACGAUUGCCGGUGUUACCCACCUGCGUUGCACCAUCACCACCACCGCCAUUCCCCAGUCCCGGUCCCGCGCGUCCAUCUCCCGCCUAUGGCGUCCAGGCGUGGUCAGUUUGGGGCGGGUGCGGCCAGGGCAGUGAGCAGCCAGCCAGGAGCGGAAGGAGAGGGCCUGUACAGACUCCGCUCACAGCCAGCAACCUGCCACCUGCCCACUGCCCCGAACCCCCACCCCAUCCACACCGCCCCUCCCGCCCGCCUCCACGCCAACCCUAGUCCAUGCCCACCACAUCAGCUACGGUAUGUGCACCAGACCCUGAUGAUGCCCCACCGCCUGCCCUGCUGACCCCGUAUCCAUCUCACCCUGGCACUACCCCUUCAUGACACGCACCUGGAAGCUGGCCCCAGGCAGAAUGCCGGCCGGGUGCGCCCCGGCGUUCAUGGCGCCCAAUGCGGCGCCCAGGUCUGGGUCCGCAGCUGCUAGCUUCAGGUUAUCGUCCGACUUCUCCUGUAGAGCGCGGGAGUUUGAUACUGAGGCAGCGGCAGGGGGCAUGACACGAGCCUUUGCACGCAAGCCAUGACACGAGCCGUGACGAUACAGGCCAUCCCCGAUUGCUAACUCAGUUGUGUUUGCGUGCUUGGUUAUCAUGCGUUCCAUGAGAUUGAGCAUCAAGUUUUCGGUCAAGGGGGUGGUGGUAGCCAUUCAUGCGAACGGUGGUAGGCUACGGGGGAAGACAGAUGCAGCUGACCGCUCCCGCCUGCGACACCGCCAGCUGAAAAGGCUCGCUGCUCAACUCCUGCUGCCUCAUGUUCGCCAUCCGUCGCCUCCCACAUCAGCACCCCACCACACCCUACUCUUACCCGUAGGCUCAUGGCUCCGCCCAUGAGCUUGGAGCCCAGGGGCGCCAUACCGCUGCUGCUGGCGGGCCGGCCAAGGAUGGAGCUGUUGCGCACGGGCUUGCGCCGCCGUUGCCGCAGAGAGUCGGAGCGCUGCAGCCCGCCGCCCGUGCUGCCGUCCGGCCCCAGCCCCGAAGCCAGGAAGGCGGCAGGGUCCCCACUGGCGAUCUCGUCCUGCUCCCGAAAGGCGUCCAGCGCGUUCUGGAGGCUGUCCACCUCGCCGCCGUAGGAAAGGUUGUUGAGUGACCAUAGUUUGCUCUUGUUGCGGUUAGGCGGCGGAUGCAGCCGCUGAGUGGCGCCGCCCGCCGCACCACCAACCCCGGCGCCGCCUGCCAUACCGCCGGCUGUAGUCCGCGGCUGGUCCACGUGUGCGGGACUGGUAACGGGCGGCUCGCCACCCAGACCGCCUGCCGCUGCCGCGCCGUCUGCGCCGCCUGCCAAAGAGCGGCCAUGUGUCAGAAUGAAGCAUGCUCUGGAGUCGCAGCCCAACCCCUUUGUGUGCCACACUUCCAUGUACGCUGCCCUCCUUCAUCAUUCCAUGCACCCGUUCCCCGCCCCUGCGGUUCCUGGCACGCACCUGUCGCCGCCAUCACCAGCGCGUCAAACAGUUGGCUGACCGAGGUGCCGGAACGUUUUGGGCUCUCGCGACCCACUGGCCCGCCGCCCAGCGCCGCAGCAGCCGGACCGCGGAAGCCGCCUGGCCCGAACAGCGGCGGCCCUGCACCGCCCGCGACAGCGGUCAUGUCGGCUGGCCCCAGGCCUGGCACGCCGGGUACGCCCGGCACACCCGGCACACCGGGAACGCCCGGCGGCACGCCAGGCACCCCUGGGAGGCCGGGCAACCCAGCUACGCCCAGCCCCGGAAGGGCCGCCAGCCCCAUGCCUGCUGCUGCCGCAUACGCGCCGUUGGCCCCCGCCGCCAGUGCACCCAUAGCCGCCGCCGCGUCGGGCGCGUGGUACUCAGACUGCAGCAUGCAUGACAGAGCGGAUCCAUGCAUAACGAAAUCAGGGGCCAUCUUUUGCUGUGUUGACUUGCAGCCUCCGAUCAUGCCUGACUUGGAAGGGUGCCUUGUCCCCGCCUUCUGCCACGGCUGCGCGGCCCGGCUUACCUUCAUGACUAUGGCCUGUCGGUCGCCGCCACUGAAUGUCUGUGCGGGGGGGCCACCCAUGUGCCCCAUGGCGGCCGCCGCCAUGUGCCCCGGGUGUACGGCGCCCACGCCGCCGGCACCGCCCGAGCCCAGCGGCCCCACGGCCCCGGUGCCCACCGCCGCGCUGCCGAGCGGCGGCCCGCCCUGGCACGUGCACACCUCCGUCCCCGCAGACACGAUGAUGGAGGAGUUGCCCUGCUGAGGCGGGAGACGGGGACACUUGGGGGAGCUAGAAGACCAAAGGCGCAGCAUAAGCUUUGAGAGCACGCCCCGCCCUUGUAAAGCCACAUGCCCUCCCUCAAUACAAACGCGCGCGCACACGCACGCACCUGUUUGGCGUCAAUGAUCUCCACGUCCACCAUGCAGGGGCACAGCCCCAGGAACUCCAGGUCGUACCGGAUGACG
rnacentral:lncRNA from 1 species